GUUUGAUCCUGGCUCAGGAUGAACGCUAGCGGCAGGCUUAAUACAUGCAAGUCAAGGGGGGUAGCAAUACAACCGGCGCACGGGGUGAGUAACGCGUACACAACAUACCAUAUACUGGAGUAUAGCUUUGGGAAACUGAAGGUAAUCCUCCAUAACAUUGCGAGUAGGCAUCUAUUUGCAAUUAAAGUUUCGACGGUAUAUGAUUGGUGUGCGUUUGAUUAGCUAGUUGGUAGGGUAACGGCCUACCAAGGCGACGAUCAAUAGCUGGCGUGAGAGCGCGACCAGCCACACUGGAACUGAGACACGGUCCAGACUCCUACGGGAGGCAGCAGUAGGGAAUAUUGGACAAUGGGCGAAAGCCUGAUCCAGCCAUGCCGCGUGAUAGAUGAAGGCCCUCUGGGUUGUAAA
rnacentral:rRNA from 1 species